UACGUAGGGUGCAAGCGUUAAUCGGAAUUACUGGGCGUAAAGCGUGCGCAGGCGGUUCGCUAAGACCGAUGUGAAAUCCCCGGGCUUAACCUGGGAACUGCGCUUGUUACUGGCAGGCUUGAGUGUGGCAGAGGGGGGUGGAAUUCCACGUGUAGCAGUGAAAUGCGUAGAGAUGUGGAGGAACACCGAUGGCGAAGGCAGCCCCCUGGGCUAACACUGACGCUCAUGCACGAAAGCGUGGGGAGCAAACAGG
rnacentral:rRNA from 1 species